rnacentral:rRNA from 1 species
GUAAAGGCAAAAGAGAGCUUGAUUGCAAGACAUACAGGUCGAGCAAGGAUGAAAAUCGGACUUAGUGAUCCGGUGGUUCUGCGUGGAAGGGCCAUCGCUCAACGGAUAAAAGCUACCCUGGGGAUAACAGGCUUAUCUCCCCCAAGAGUCCACAUCGACGGGGAGGUUUGGCACCUCGAUGUCGGCUCAUCACAUCCUGGGGCUGUAGUAGGUCCCAAGGGUUGGGCUGUUCGCCCAUUAAAGUGGUACGCGAGCUGGGUUCAGAACGUCGUGAGACAGUUCGGUCCCUAUCCGUCGCAGGC